rnacentral:lncRNA from 1 species
CUUAUCUUCUGAUUGAUGUGUUGUAUUUUUCUUGCAAAUUGAUGUAUGAUGUUUACGAUGGCAAAUUCUACAGUCGUAUUUAGAGCGACAAUCUGAUACUCUGUGCUUUACCAAAACAAUUAAAACACAAUUUCUUCUCUUUAAUAAUGGCUAUUCUUUUUUCAUGUUCGGCGACAUCCGUGCAGUCAUUGGAAAAGUGGUCCCCC